GCCACACUUGUAGACAGAACCAGGGACCAAGGGAUUUAAGCACGGUAUUUUAAUGAAAUGCUGAAUUCAGUACUCUGCAAAAAAUAGCGUGUGGAUUUUUAGCACCUGAAGAACAAGAAAAGGUCUCAGACUCUGGAUACUGCCUGUGGGAUUUUUUCAUUUUUUGGGGGAUUUUUCUUUUUUGUUUUCUUCCUGUUUGGAUGUGAAUUGAAGGCCAACAGUUGAAGUGCUGGAAGCAAGUGCAGGACAUUCACCUUGUUUUAUUUGAACCCUCGUUUGCUGGGAUACUUUCAAGCCCUCCUUCACAGUCAUGUGGUCAUCACAGCUGCUGUUCUUCACAAU
rnacentral:lncRNA from 14 species